GCAGUCUUUUCCAGCGAUAAAUCUGAACCACAAAGUGAAAUAUGACAUUAGCCUCAGUGUGAUAAAGUUUUAGAUUUUUUUUUUUUACAGCCAGCUUUUCUCGUCCACGGGUCUAGAGGACUUCUCUCUGAGGCUUAAUGGCCUGAGACAAGCGUUUGCAGUGAGUACUAAUCCCGGUGAUGGAAUAUUUUGGUCAUUGGAUCAGGUCUUAGUUGCCAAUUUCUUGCACAUAAGGUCCACUUGCUCACCAUUAAAAUGUGAUUUAAAUGUUCUUUGAUAAUAUGUUUUAAUGCUUUGAUCAGGUCUUGCUCACCGAGGAGCCGAAUGCUAACUUCAUCACUGUGGCAGGGAAGAUGAUCUUGCGCACCAUGGCUGCUCUCAAUGGACAGGAUGCUGGUGUGUUUCAACAGGCCUUUGACCAGCUGGUGGCCUUUGCCCAGACUCCUGGUCAUGAGACUGAGCUGCUGGUGGUUCAGUAUAGCGGGUUCAGGGUGGGUUCCUGGAUCAUCUUGUGACAAUUAUCCAUGCCUUCCUGCCCUCCGAGGCGUGGCCACCUCAGGCUGUACAAUGCUGGGGGCUG